rnacentral:rRNA from 1 species
CACCGAAUAGCUAGCCCACCCCUAUAAAAUCAACAACUACAAUUUAAUACCCCCAAAUUCACAGACACUCCUACCAAACAAACCAUUUUUCCCCCUUAGUAUGGGCGACAGAAAAGGGACACUACAAGGCGCAAUAAAGAAUUAGUACCGCAAGGGAACGCUGAAAGAGAAAUGAAAUAACCCAAUAAAGACUAAAAAAGCAGAGAUACACCCUCGUACCUUUUGCAUCAUGAUUUAGCUAGUGCAUUCCAAGCAAAAAGCAGUUUAGUUUGAUUACCCGAAACUAGGUGAGCUACUCCAAGACAGCCUAUUAAUAGGGCAAACCCGUCUCUGUGGCAAAAGAGUGGGAAGAGCUUUGAGUAGAGGUGACAGACCUACCGAACCUAGUUAUAGCUGGUUGCCCGAGAACUGGACAGAAGUUCAGCCUCCCGGCUUCUUUAUUCCAUUAGAUACAUUAAUCCUGCCUGAUCCUUCAAGAAACCGAGAGAGUUAUUCAAAGGAGGUACAGCCCCUUUGAACCAAGACACAACUUUUCCAGGAGGGUAAAGAUCAUA